UACUUUUCCCAGAAACCUUCUUCCCUCUUAUUUUCUGUUCUCUGUUUUUUCUACUCGUCUACUUCUUUUCUUUGUUCCUCGCCAUCUCCAGAAAAAUAAAUCAUGGAGGAAAUAAAAUGAUUAGAUCGAGCUACUGAAAUAGAUCUAGAGACUGAACCUCGUCAUGCAACUAAAGGUAAGAUGGACUUCAUUUUCUUUUGCUUUCUCGGCUCUUUUCUUGUUUUGUAGAAAGAGUUUGAGUUUUUAUUUUUGUGUUCUGAUAUUUGUCCUUGUGGUGGCUGAAAAGAUAAAAAAAGAUUGAAUCCAGCUAAGAAGACGGAGGUAAUGACAGAUGACUGUGAGAGUGUGGGUCGGCAGCGUUCACAUGGAUGUGAUGAACAAUUAAGACGAUAUUCUGUGUUGGGCGAUUGAAAAUAGUGGUUUAUGUAGUAAUUAAUUCUAUUCCUCUACCCUUAUUUAUUUUAUUUUGUGUUGCUGAACUUAAGUGUUGGCCAUGGAUUUGUGUUUCAUUUUACUAGUUGGAUCGUUUGUGCUGUGAGAAUAAAAUGUCAAAAGUGUUAUAGUGAUUUGUGAGUAUUUGCUUG
rnacentral:lncRNA from 1 species